UCCAGAAAGAUCAUUAAAAUAAAAUACCAAGUUUACACAAUAAAAGAUUGGAAAGACAAUAAAGAAACAGACUAGAUAGAAAGAGAUAGAAAUUAAGGUUAAAGGUUGAAAUACAAUAAUACAAAUGAGGGAUUUGGGACUUUGUACAGCAGUAUCUCACAGUUUUGACAUUUAGCACUUUAUAAGAGUUAAUUCUAUAAACUGUAAUUCCUUUACCUGAUCCAUUAUAAUAUGCAGUUUUAAUUAAAAUUCUAAUAUCAACAGGAUACUGCUUCAUUGUAAAUUUUUCUUUGCUCUCAAAGCAUUGCAUAAAAGUCUAUAAAAAUACCUGUUUUAUGUUCAAAACCAGGUUUAUCUAAUUGCAUUGCAGCAGAUUUUUUUUAAUGAUUGCAUGAUGUUUAUUUUAAAUUAUUGCAUAUACAUUGUAUUAGCACUUUUUCCACUGUAAAAAUAAUGAAACAACACCUU
rnacentral:lncRNA from 1 species